GUCUAUGGCCAUACUACCCUGAAUGCACCAAUCUCGUCUGAUCUUGGAAGAUAAACAAUGUGGGACCUAGUUAGCACUUGGAAAGGAAGACU
rnacentral:rRNA from 1 species